UUAAGCGACUAAGCGUACACGGUGGAUGCCCUGGCAGUCAGAGGCGAUGAAGGACGUGCUAAUCUGCGAUAAGCGCCGGUAAGGUGAUAUGAACCGUUAUAACCGGCGAUUUCCGAAUGGGGAAACCCAGUGUGAUUCGUCACACUAUCAUUAACUGAAUCCAUAGGUUAAUGAGGCGAACCGGGGGAACUGAAACAUCUAAGUACCCCGAGGAAAAGAAAUCAACCGAGAUUCCCCCAGUAGCGGCGAGCGAACGGGGAGGAGCCCAGAGCCUGAAUCAGCAUGUGUGUUAGUGGAAGCGUCUGGAAAGGCGCGCGAUACAGGGUGACAGCCCCGUACACAAAAGCGCAUGUGCUGUGAGCUCGAUGAGUAGGGCGGGACACGUGGUAUCCUGUCUGAAUAUGGGGGGACCAUCCUCCAAGGCUAAAUACUCCUGACUGACCGAUAGUGAACCAGUACCGUGAGGGAAAGGCGAAAAGAACCCCGGCGAGGGGAGUGAAAAAGAACCUGAAACCGUGUACGUACAAGCAGUGGGAGCCCCACCACUAAGCCAGUGGUGAACUCUACAUACGCAUCCUUUGCUGAGGAUACGGUUAACGGAGCGAAAGCGACGUUCAACCUCAAAAGAAGCAGAGGGGGCUUAGUGGUGGGGUGACUGCGUACCUUUUGUAUAAUGGGUCAGCGACUUAUAUUCUGUAGCAAGGUUAACCGUAUAGGGGAGCCGUAGGGAAACCGAGUCUUAACCGGGCGUUAAGUUGCAGGGUAUAGACCCGAAACCCGGUGAUCUAGCCAUGGGCAGGUUGAAGGUUGGGUAACACUAACUGGAGGACCGAACCGACUAAUGUUGAAAAAUUAGCGGAUGACCUGUGGCUGGGGGUGAAAGGCCAAUCAAACCGGGAGAUAGCUGGUUCUCCCCGAAAGCUAUUUAGGUAGCGCCUCGUGAAUUCAUCUCCGGGGGUAGAGCACUGUUUCGGCUAGGGGGCCAUCCCGGCUUACCAACCCGAUGCAAACUGCGAAUACCGGAGAAUGUUAUCACGGGAGACACACGGCGGGUGCUAACGUCCGUCGUGAAGAGGGAAACAACCCAGACCGCCAGCUAAGGUCCCAAAGUCAUGGUUAAGUGGGAAACGAUGUGGGAAGGCCCAGACAGCCAGGAUGUUGGCUUAGAAGCAGCCAUCAUUUAAAGAAAGCGUAAUAGCUCACUGGUCGAGUCGGCCUGCGCGGAAGAUGUAACGGGGCUAAACCAUGCACCGAAGCUGCGGCAGCGACGCUGAUGCGUUGUUGGGUAGGGGAGCGUUCUGUAAGCCUGCGAAGGUGGCCUGUGAGGGUUGCUGGAGGUAUCAGAAGUGCGAAUGCUGACAUAAGUAACGAUAAAGCGGGUGAAAAGCCCGCUCGCCGGAAGACCAAGGGUUCCUGUCCAACGUUAAUCGGGGCAGGGUGAGUCGACCCCUAAGGCGAGGCCGAAAGGCGUAGUCGAUGGGAAACGGGUUAAUAUUCCCGUACUUGGUGUUACUGCGAAGGGGGGACGGAGAAGGCUAUGUUGGCCGGGCGACGGUUGUCCCGGUUUAAGCGUGUAGGUGUGUGUUCCAGGUAAAUCCGGUUCACUUUAACACUGAGGCGUGAUGACGAGGCACUACGGUGCUGAAGCAACAAAUGCCCUGCUUCCAGGAAAAGCCUCUAAGCAUCAGGUAACAUCAAAUCGUACCCCAAACCGACACAGGUGGUCAGGUAGAGAAUACCAAGGCGCUUGAGAGAACUCGGGUGAAGGAACUAGGCAAAAUGGUGCCGUAACUUCGGGAGAAGGCACGCUGACACGUAGGUGAAGUGAUUUACUCAUGGAGCUGAAGUCAGUCGAAGAUACCAGCUGGCUGCAACUGUUUAUUAAAAACACAGCACUGUGCAAACACGAAAGUGGACGUAUACGGUGUGACGCCUGCCCGGUGCCGGAAGGUUAAUUGAUGGGGUCAGCGCAAGCGAAGCUCCUGAUCGAAGCCCCGGUAAACGGCGGCCGUAACUAUAACGGUCCUAAGGUAGCGAAAUUCCUUGUCGGGUAAGUUCCGACCUGCACGAAUGGCGUAAUGAUGGCCAGGCUGUCUCCACCCGAGACUCAGUGAAAUUGAACUCGCUGUGAAGAUGCAGUGUACCCGCGGCAAGACGGAAAGACCCCGUGAACCUUUACUAUAGCUUGACACUGAACAUUGAGCCUUGAUGUGUAGGAUAGGUGGGAGGCUUUGAAGUGUGGACGCCAGUCUGCAUGGAGCCGACCUUGAAAUACCACCCUUUAAUGUUUGAUGUUCUAACGUGGACCCGUUACCCGGGUUGCGGACAGUGUCUGGUGGGUAGUUUGACUGGGGCGGUCUCCUCCUAAAGAGUAACGGAGGAGCACGAAGGUUGGCUAAUCCUGGUCGGACAUCAGGAGGUUAGUGCAAUGGCAUAAGCCAGCUUGACUGCGAGCGUGACGGCGCGAGCAGGUGCGAAAGCAGGUCAUAGUGAUCCGGUGGUUCUGAAUGGAAGGGCCAUCGCUCAACGGAUAAAAGGUACUCCGGGGAUAACAGGCUGAUACCGCCCAAGAGUUCAUAUCGACGGCGGUGUUUGGCACCUCGAUGUCGGCUCAUCACAUCCUGGGGCUGAAGUAGGUCCCAAGGGUAUGGCUGUUCGCCAUUUAAAGUGGUACGCGAGCUGGGUUUAGAACGUCGUGAGACAGUUCGGUCCCUAUCUGCCGUGGGCGCUGGAGAACUGAGGGGGGCUGCUCCUAGUACGAGAGGACCGGAGUGGACGCAUCACUGGUGUUCGGGUUGUCAUGCCAAUGGCACUGCCCGGUAGCUAAAUGCGGAAGAGAUAAGUGCUGAAAGCAUCUAAGCACGAAACUUGCCCCGAGAUGAGUUCUCCCUGAGACUUUAGGUCUCCUGAAGGAACGUUGAAGACGACGACGUUGAUAGGCCGGGUGUGUAAGCGCAGCGAUGCGUUGAGCUAACCGGUACUAAUGAACCGUGAGGCUUAACCU
rnacentral:rRNA from 1 species